UACGUAGGGUGCGAGCGUUGCCCGGAUUUAUUGGGCGUAAAGGGCGCGUAGGCGGCUCGGCACGUCGGAUGUGAAAUCCCUCGGCUCAACCAAGGAAGUGCAUCCGAAACUGCUGAGCUUGAGUACUUAAGAGGAUCGCGGAAUUCCCGGUGUAGAGGUGAAAUUCGUAGAUAUCGGGAGGAACACCAGUGGCGAAGGCGGCGAUCUGGGAAGAUACUGACGCUGAGGUGCGAAAGCGUGGGGAGCAAACAGG
rnacentral:rRNA from 1 species